rnacentral:rRNA from 1 species
UACGUAGGCAGCAAGCGUUGUUCGGAGUUACUGGGCGUAAAGGGUGCGUAGGCGGCUUGGUAAGUGUGGUGUGAAAUCUCCCGGCUCAACUGGGAGGGUCGCGCUACAAACUGCCGGGCUAGAGUGCGGGAGAGGAGAGUGGAAUUCCUGGUGUAGCGGUGAAAUGCGUAGAUAUCAGGAGGAACACCGGUGGUGUAAACGGCUCUCUGGACCGUAACUGACGCUGAGGCACGAAAGCGUGGGUAGCAAACAGG